rnacentral:rRNA from 1 species
UACGGAGGAUGCGAGCGUUAUCCGGAUUUAUUGGGUUUAAAGGGUGCGUAGGCGGGCUUUUAAGUCAGCGGUAAAAAUUCGGGGCUCAACCCCGUCCGGCCGUUGAAACUGGGGGUCUUGAGUGGGCGAGAAGAAGGCGGAAUGCGUGGUGUAGCGGUGAAAUGCAUGGAUAUCACGCAGAACCCCGAUUGCGAAGGCAGCCUUCCGGCGCCCUACUGACGCUGAGGCACGAAAGUGCGGGGAUCGAACAGG